AGUGAACGCUGGCGGUAGGCCUAACACAUGCAAGUCGAACGGCAGCACAGUAAGAGCUUGCUCUUACGGGUGGCGAGUGGCGGACGGGUGAGGAAUACAUCGGAAUCUACUUUUUCGUGGGGGAUAACGUAGGGAAACUUACGCUACUACCGCAUACGACCUACGGGUGAAAGCAGGGGAUCUUCGGACCUUGCGCGAUUGAAUUAGCCGAUGUCGGAUUAGCUAGUUGGCGGGGUAAAGGCCCACCAAGGCGACGAUCCGAAGCUGGUCUGAGGGGAUGAUCCGGCACACUGGAACUUAGGCACGGUCCAGAACCCUACGGGGAGGAGCAGUUGGGAAUUUUGGACAAUGGGCGCAAGCCUGGUCCAGCCAAACCGCGUGGAUGAAGAAGGCCUUCGGGUUGUAAAGCCCUUUUGUUGGGAAAGAAAAGCAGCAGGUUAAUACCCCGCUGUUCUGACGGUACCCAAAGAAGAAGCACCGGCUAACUUCGUG
rnacentral:rRNA from 1 species